rnacentral:rRNA from 1 species
AUUGAACGCUGGCGGCAUGCCUUACACAUGCAAGUCGAACGGUAACAGGUCUUCGGAUGCUGACGAGUGGCGAACGGGUGAGUAAUACAUCGGAACGUGCCUAGUAGCGGGGGAUAACUACUCGAAAGAGUGGCUAAUACCGCAUGAGAUCUACGGAUGAAAGCAGGGGAUCGCAAGACCUUGUGCUACUAGAGCGGCCGAUGGCAGAUUAGGUAGUUGGUGGGAUAAAAGCUUACCAAGCCGACGAUCUGUAGCUGGUCUGAGAGGACGAUCAGCCACACGGGGCCUGAGACACGGCCCAGACUCCUACGGGAGGCAGCAGUGGGGAAUUUUGGACAAUGGGCGAAAGCCUGAUCCAGCAAUGCCGCGUGCAGGAUGAAGGCCUUCGGGUUGUAAACUGCUUUUGUACGGAACGAAAAGCCCCGGGUUAAUACCCUGGGGUCAUGACGGUACCGUAAGAAUAAGCACCGGCUAACUACGUGCCAGCCGCCGCCGUAA